rnacentral:lncRNA from 1 species
CGCCGCCAUCAUGCGGGAGGGCCCCAACCUCUUGAAGCUGGCGCGCAAGGAGCAGUGCCUGGCGCUCGGCACCAGGUUGCGCUCCAAGUACAAGAUCACCUACCAGUUCUACCGCGUCUUCCCCAACGGCGAGGUGCAGUACCUCCACCCCAAGGACGGCGUCUACCCGGAGAAGGUCAACCCCGGCAGGGAGGGCGUCGGCCAGAACUUCCGCAGCAUCGGCAAGAACGUCAACCCCAUCGACGUCAAGUUCACCGGCAAGGCCACCUUCGACUAAUCACACUUCACGUACGCCGCACGCCCCAGCCGGGAUCCAAAUUAAAGAACUUCUUCUUCUAUUAAUUACAGUAUAUUGUAAUUUGGCUGCUGGUACGGUGGUGGCAUGAUUUGAGAUGUGCAUGAUGAUCCUUGUGUAAUUUUAUUACCAAGUCUCUUCUUAUAUUUACAUGUUCAUUUGCUUGCUUCUUGCAUAACAUAACGCCUAUCGACAAUGACCAUCAUUAGUUUUAGUCCUACGUGUAUUUGAUUCAAUCUCUCCGUGUUUAUAGUAUAAAUUCAACCAAACUAAAG